GGUGGCUGCUGGUCGUGCAUGGUGUCGUCCUCUCCUGGGCCGGCGGCGGGAUCUGGUGUAGAGCUCUCCAGUGGCGCGACUGCGACUUGCGGGCGGCCCUGCUGCUCGCGCGGCGCGGCUGCUGGUCAGGCGGCGGCCUGGAUCCUACUUCCAGUCCCUGGUAGAGAUGGCGGCGAUCCGUACACAAGACUUGAUGGAGGUUCUUCGAACAGAUCUGGGUGAAAACCUUGCGCUCGGCUAGAUGCCAAGGCCGGCGAUGGCUGCGCUCUUUUGUGUCGUUCUCUUCUUUAAGACAUCGCCAUGGAGAAGUUCUAGACUUCUAUCUGUUACCUCCGGGGAAAACCCUAGAUCGGUAGAUCGGAUGACGGCGGUGCUCUUGCAUCGUUUCCCCCUUGGGGGCGUCAGUCUUGGAGGUGUGCAUGGGCUCGAGGGACCAGCGGACAACAUCUUUGGUGGAGCGGUGUUUCAUCUUACGCAUCGACGACUGUGGAUCUCGGCGGCGUGGUGUAGUGGAGUCCCGGCGUUCGAUGUGUGUAGACGGACUCGCGCGGGAGGAUGGCGCUGUCUGGCGUCGUGGUGGCGCCGAUGGCAGACAUAGCAAGGUCGUGGCGUCGGUACCUGCUUUGAAGAUGGAUCGGAGGAAGACGGCGGCGGCAGACUCUGAGAGUGCGCCGGACCGGUGUGUGCCCCAGAUCAGGUAUAUGGCUUGGCUGGGGCCUCCGGUUUUAGAUAUUAGGCUUAGAUGCGAGGCCUGUUUGGUAUUAGGCUCAGACUAUCGGCACACCUUCAUCAAGUGGAUAGAAGUAGCGACAGAUGUUACCAAGAUGGUGGCUUCAGCCUUACCGAUGUACUAUUUUGUAAGGUCUUUGUGAAUAAUUAAUAAAGUGGCUGCAUGCAUCGUCCAGAUGCAGAUAUGUUCAAAAAAGUGUUGGCCAUCCAGGACAUGGAGUUUUUGCUCGCGUGCUCAAAUGCACACUCGUGGACAGUAAAGAUAAAAGAAAUAGUUAAGCAAUUAAAAAAAUUUGAUUUUUUCCACCAAACAUUAUUAACUGUUCUAGAUAUGUGGAAAUUUUCGUGAAGAAGCAUAGCUUUGGGCGAAAAAAAUUGAAGCUCCACCUGUAAAAAAAAAUUGAAGCUCCAAAAAGACUUAUUGAAAGCAUUUUGAACUGCUGAUUCUGAUUUCACCCUAAAUAUUUGCAUGCAGUAAGAAAACUAAGCAAUUUGUUGUCCAAAACAUUCAAAAUAAUUUGGUUUUUCUUACUUUGAUGUUCAUAGAGGAGCAUUUGAGCUCUGGAUUAGAAGAGCACUUUUAAUCUAGUAGAUGCAAAAUCCGGUCCCCAAACGCCCGGGACAUUGACCAGACAACACAACAAAAAUUGUUUUCGCUGCCGGAUACCCCAUUUGCAAAUCCUCAUAUCCAUAUUAUUACAUGCACGUGAAACCUGAUCUAAAGGGAAGCCCGUCCAGCUUCGCCGUGCCCAUGUACAGCGGCUGCGCCCGCGAAAAUGUUGGUCCGGUCACCGAAGAGGUAGAGUAGGACAUAGGACAUGCACCGGCUCACGGGAGUCAAGGUCCGUCUCCCAUGUCCUACUCUUCCUCGGUGGGUCGUCGGUGGCUGGCGGCGGGGUUGUGUCGGGGAUGGACGGACGGGCGGCAGCGGCAACGUUUUCUGGCAGAAAUAGUCGGCGGCGGGAGGCGGGCGGAAACGAAAUGAACGACAGUUGGACGGUUGGCGCGGGCUAGACUUUUACAUCACUUGGGAGGUGGAGAUGUAAAUUUGCAUCUUCAAGUGUUGUAUUUUACAUCACUUGGAGGAGUUGAUGUAAUUUUUUUGCAUCUACAUCAUCUAUAGAAGCAGCAUUUUUUGGGCCUCAGAGAUGUAUACGUUAGUUAUUUUUGCAUCUAUGUCUUCUAUUGGAGAUGCUCUAACAAAUGCGCUUUACUAGUUGAGAAAGAGAUGGGGCAGAAAAGGAUCUUGCGGCGACUAGGGUUUUGAAGUGGAACCUGCAUACGGCCGUGGAUCUUAUCGACGGGCCGGUCCCGACCGCUACCGGAGGAGAUGGCUGCGCCUUCCUCGUCCGGUGGUGCCCAGGAGGGUUCUAAAGCCAAAAAACCCUAGGAUAGGGAGGACCCAGUUAGAAGAGGCGCUCGGGAAGUUGGACAUCUCGGAAGAAGAAGCUACUCCUCUCGUGAUCGAUGAUCGUGUGGAGGGUGGGCCGACGAAGGGUUGUUAGCAGGCAAGAUCCUCUUUCGCAAUAAGUGUCAUAUACAAACCAUUACCAAUGCCCUUCGUCCGGCUUGGGGGAACCCUAGAGGACUCCAGUUCCGCUCGGUUGGACCCAAUAUGUUUGUUGCAGAAUUUGAGAGUUAGAGAGACAGAGAUAGAAUUUGGGAUGGAUCUCCAUGGCACAUGAACAAGAACACAAUUGUUUUGGCAGAAUUUGAGGAUUGCACGUGCCCAGAUGAUCUUAAGUUUGAUCGGCUGCAAGUGUGGGCUAGGGUCUUAAACCUACCCUACAAUUUACAUGAUUAUGCUUGGAGUUUGCCUGUUGCCCAGAUGAUUGACAAGAAGGCACAUAUUGCAAAAUUUGAUCAUGUAGGAGCUACCUCCGAACCAGGGUCACUAUUGAUGUAGACAAACCUCUGCGAAGAUGGAUACUUAUCGAUUCAACUAGGAGGAAAAGUGUUGAUCCUUAUGAUAUUCAGUGUGAACAGAUCCCAUAUUUCUGUUUGUCAUGCGGACGCUUAGGUCACUCGGAAUUGUAUUGCCCAACUCCUGGUUCUUGAGAUGAGAAGGGUGAACUUCCGUUUGGAUCGUACAUGAGGGCUCCUGAGGACUACAAGAAGACUCCAUCUAAUGAAAAUUCAGCCAAGAGCCAAAGAUCGGAGUCCAGUAGCAAGCAGGGAACCAAAAAAUCGAGCACCAAAUCGAAACCAGACGGUGGCGAGGAGGUUGUCUCUCCAAUGAAGCACCCCUGCAAGGGACAUAACAAGAGGAAAGAAGGGUCGGUUGCUGUUUAUGUGCCGAAGCAGCUUCUUCUUACCAGUGGAGAGUACUAGGGGAGCAACAAGGAUCCUAAAGGAUGUAAUGACGAGACUGAGAAUGACAGUCAGAUUUUAGAAAGGGAUCCCAAGAAGAAGAAGCCCACACUUGAGAACUCGGCAGAGACCGCUCAGCCGUCCUGCCGGGAGUAAUGAGUUGUCUUAGUUGGAACUGCCGGGGGCUUGGGAACCCCGAGGCAGUUCGUGAGCUGCGCAACUGUGUGGCAGGAAGUUCCCGCAUUACUGUUCGUAAUGGAAACCAAGAUUAGGGCUAAAAGGGUGGAAAUAUUGCAAAGACAGCUGGGGUUUGCAGGAUGUUUUGUAGUUGACAGUGAUAGUCUGAGUGGUGGCAUCGGUCUAUUCUGGACCGGCGAGGUAAAAGUUGAACUUAAAAAUUAUAGUACUAGUCAUAUUGAUGUCAUGGUGCGGAAAUUAGAUGGCUCUCCUGAGUGGAGAUUUACGGGGUUCUAUGGUGCUUCGAGGGCAGAAAAUAGAAAUCAUAGCUGGAGAUUCGUGAGGACUUUGCAUGGAAUUGAACACGCUGCUUGGCUAUGCGUAGGGGAUUUUAACGAGACAUUGUACGGGUUUGAACAUUUCAGCUGCUCCUCGAGGCCGGAGUGGCAGAUGAGGGCCUUCAGAGAGGUGGUGACAGCCUGCUCUUUCCAGGAUCUUGGCUGGUCAGGAGUCCCAUUCACCUGGGACAAUGGACAACAAGGGGAUAGUGCUACUUCUUGAGCUUGCGUAAAUUUUUCCCUUGAAGAGGAAAAGGUGAUGCAUCAAAGUAGAGAUAAGUAUUUCCCUCAGUUAAGAACCAAGGUAUCAAUCCAAUAGGAGGAACACACAAGUCCCCAAUAGAUGCACCUGCACAAGCUAACAAACACUUGCACACAACGCGAAAAAGGGGUUGUCAAUCCCUUCACGGUCACUAGCAAGAGUAAGAUCUGAUAGAGAUAGGUAUAGAAGAUAAGUAAAAGUGCCAAAUAAAGUAAAGGUAUAUAAAUUGCAGCAAGGUAUUUUUGUGUUUUGGUUUAUAGAUCUAAAAAUAAUAUGAUGGUAAAUAGACACUACCAAAAAAGUACACUUCUGUGAUGAUACGUGUUUUUCACAGUAGGUCACGUUUUCUGUCAUGCAUGUACAUCCAUGACGAUUUUAUGACAAAAUCAAGAUAGUCAUACCUGUGCUGUCGUAGAAGUGUUCCAUGACAUUACCAAAAUUAUCAUCAUGGAAGUGCCCACUUCCAUGACGAUAAAUCGCGCAUCAUAGAAGUGCUUUCAUCAAGGGUGACCGACACGUGGCAUCCACCGUAACGGGUCGCCGUUAAGCUAUCGGGUUCCGGUUCGGAUCCGAUAACCAGUUAACAGCUCGGACCAAUGGCGAUUUUCCAUGUGUAAAAUUCUCAUUCGCCGACGAACCACGUGUCGGCUCAGCGUUGGGACAGAUGUCAACCGUCCAUUUGACAAGAGUCGCCAAUGAAACGUUGACACGUGGGACGGCCCAAUAGAGGCCCAUAUAGGUCUAAAAGCUGGCCCGGGAACAGGCCCAAAAGAUUUCGUCAGAUCUAAUGGGCCGGCCCGUUAACAGCCUAACAUUUUCUGGACCAAAUUAUAGCCCACAUCAGAUACGGGUCGUUAAAUGACUGCAAUAUUCUGGGCCAGUUUACGGCCCAUAUCAUAUCUGGCCCGUUAACAGCCUGCAAUAGUUUGGGCCAAAUUACGCUCCACACCUGAUUAGGCCCGUUAACUGACUUUUAUUUCUUGGGCCAAAUUAUGGCCCAUAACAGAUACAACCCUUUUAACAGCUACUGUGCCAUUGGGUCCAUUGGCAGCCUGAUUUUCUCUUCGGCCUCUUAAUGACCCGUUUAACAGUUCGGCCCGAUAUUAGUAUCGACCUGUCAGCGGCCCUAUCUACAUAUGGGCCUCUUUCGGCCCGGUUUCACUUUCGGCCAUUUAAAGGCCCGAGUUGUUGCUGGGCCUAAUUACGGUCCGUAGUUACUUUCGGCAUCUUAACGACCCGUAGUAUUCGUGGAUAUAUUCUAGCCCAAACUGCCUAUCGGCCCGUUAAAGGCCUUUGAGAGUGUUGGGCCUAAUUUAGGCCCGUUAUACAUCCGGCCUGCUUCCCGCCCGUCAUGUAAUUUGGUCAGCCAAGGCCCAAAAAAAAUCACCCUGUUAAUGGCCCAUCACCCGAAUGGGCCAAUAAUGGGCCUAUUUAUAUUACAGCACGCUCUCGUCCCGUGAUUUGUUCACCACAAUUAGGGCUAAAUCUAGUUCUCAAUCUGUUAAAAGCCUAUUAAAUUUUCGGGCCCAAUUAAGGCAAGCAGUUUACUCGGCCCUUUAAAGGCCCGAAACUAAUAGUGGGCCAGAUUAAGACUAGACCUAACUAAUGGCCCAAGAUGAUUGUAGGCCCACGGUUCGGCCCGUGGCGACCAGCCAGUUUUAGUACAUAAAUUAUUUAAUUUAUAAACCUAACCUAUUGGCUCAUUGCGCACCGAUCGAAGAUUACGACCUUUUCUCAGAGCGACGACAGUAGAAACAGCAAAUAAAUUACAACAUCACGACGAAGAAUAAACCUAGACUAUACAACAAAGAAAUUACAGCAUAUUACAUCCCCUAGGCAUCAAAGUUCGCAGCUAGUGAUAAUAAAGGGCAACCAGACAGUAGAUUACAUAAACUGGGCAGGUCACCACCAGUGGAAGUUAACAGGCCGACAAAAUAAUAGACAGAACCGACAACACUUCAACACAGUUCAAGAAAGUUUAGCCCGGCCCAGGAGCUGCAACGCAAGCAGCUUAGUAACCUGAUGAGACUGCGCUUCUUUGGCGCUCAUAUCCACCAACUUAAGCCGCAUAGCAUCAAUAAACGUCCUGUACUUACGGUUAAUCUUGCAUAGAGAUUGGAGUUCCAGUCGGAUUUGAGCGGAAGCAUGUAUUUCUUCUUGAAUUUCAGACUGAAGAAGUCGAACAGAUUCAGGCGGCGACUUCAUCGAGCUUGUGUCACUGAGUAAGUUUGACACUACAUCAAGAUGCGACUUCGUGGUUGUAUCCCUACCCUCAAGAUGCGCUGCCUUCUCCUCUGAAAUAUGUGUUAGAGGGACAAACAAUGGGUUCGUCUCACUACCAUUGUGGCAGUUCUUCCUAGCAACAGUGAUGUCACCCUGAAAGAGAAACAAGUAGGUAGAUAACAUGUUUUGCACGUAUAAGCAUCAGUGCUGUCAAUUCAUCUCAUUUCUUUGUCGAAAAUAAAGAGACACGGUUUAAAAUAGCAUUAACAUAAUAGGCAUUGUUCAUAGUUAAGACGGCGGGAAAUGGCAUUGUGCAGGAGCGGCCAGCUUCACCAGACCACUGGAUUACAGAUCAAGAACACAAGCAUAGAUGUAGUUCUAAACAACGUAUAAGCAUGAAUGGAGUGUGUACUGUCAAUUUAUAGUUUUAUACCAUUUCAGAUUGGUAAAUAAAGAGACACAAUUUAAAUAACAUUAAUAUAAUAUGGCAUUGUUCAUAGUUGAGACAUAGCAGGAUAUGACAUUGUGCUGUUGUUGGUAGUUUCACCACACCACUGGAUUACAGAUCAAGAACACAAGCAUACACAUAGUGCUAAAGAAGAUAACUUCUUAUGUUUAGUUUAAUUUACAUGGUACGAAUAAGGAACUAGGUUGUACAACUAAAGACUGAAAUUGAGAAGGACAAACUUAUGUUUACGUACUUCUACUUUAUAAACUUUGAACAAGCAAUUUGAUGCAGACGACAAAAAUAAAUAGCAUUUGCACUCAUAGCUAUCCAAAUAUACACAACAAAGUUUGAAGGCUCGAGGAGGACAAACUUACAUUAGUAGUGAAGACGGGCUCUAUAAAGGCCUUGUCCAUAUUGAUGGGGGGGGGGGGCAAUUCAAGAAGUUUACCGCACACUCUUCUUCAAGAGUAUUGCCUUUAUUCUACAUUUUGUUAAGAGUAAAUAUAGAUGUGAAAAUAUAGGAACAAAUGGCGAUUAUUUAACUUAAGAUGCAGAGUACAAAUGUAAAUACAGCAUACAGGCAGAAGGCACUGACAAGAGCAAUGCGGAGCUAAACUUCUUCAGUAACGUUGAUAUUAUUCAAUAUUUUGGCAAGAGUAAAUGUAGAUCUGAUGCGUAGAAAAAGAGGACAAGGGAAAAUAAGCUGCAAAGUGUACAUGAAGAACUAGCUGACAAAUAUAAGUACAGUGAUGAAGGACAACAGAUACUUACAAGAACAAUGCAGAACUAAAUUUCUUCAUAAGCAUUGGGUUUAUUCUACAUUAAUUUAAGCAUUAAUAUAGAUCUGAUAAUUUGGAGAGAACAGUGGAUAAGUAAGCUAUAAUGCACAAUGAUGUCACAUAAUCCACCAGGUAUGAAUGUAAGGACAAUGAUAGGACAAUAGGUACUCACAAGAGCAAAGCAGCGACCAACAUAGUUGCGAUAUCCUAGGUUUUGUGGCGCCAAAUCUAUCGCCAAUAUACGUCGGGUGCUAUGUGAUUUCUCCGGUAGCACCACCUUUUUCAAGGACUUUGCUUGUACUCCUUCAGGUUCUGCAAUCACCCUCUUUCUUUUGGAUGUCUGAAACACAAGAACAUCAUUUGAAUGAAAAAACAUGAUAUGACGACGAAUGGAAUAGGUGUUGAUAAUGGAUGGGCAUGGCAUCUUCACAUAUAUCAUGAGUAAACUAAGCAGAUGGCAGUGCAACGAAGCAAAAGAAAUGCAAGACACCUUAUGCAAGAUAUGUGCAACCAAUAAAACCUUGCCAAAUUAGAACAUGCACCUUAUUAGGUGAACAUGAUAGGUCAUCUGCCUUUGACUCCUUGAGCUCAGAAUAGUCAUUAGGAUCAUAUUCUGAAUACGAAUCUAUAGGUCGGGAGCAUGUGGGUUUCAUUGCAUCCAUAAUGGAUCUCAAUCCCUUGAUGCCAAGUUUGUUACCCAUUGAACUGUUCCGCAAUAUUCUUCUGAUGUGCGCAUUCUUAUAUUCAUUGUGAUUACGUACAAUAUCUGUAAAGCAUGAAAACACAAAUAGUAGUGAGAUUAUCUUUGUAAUGCAGAGGAUAUCGUAAUAUAAUAGAGGCUCCCUAUAAACCCUUGUGUGCUAUCACUGGAUUCUGAUGAGAGAGCCCAUGUGUGCUGUAAUAUGGUGAGUAGAUUAAUAUAAUCUGGCAUAACUACACAAAAAAUAGGCUCCCUGUUGGAAGCCCCAGAUGUAAGGAUAGUUGGCAGAUGAUAAGUUCAUAAUAUACCGUACAGAAAGUUUAUUUCCAAACCAUGAUAACGAGAGAGCAGAGCCAGUAGGCAGAUCAUAGUAUAGAUAAUAGGGGUACACCAUAACCACCAUAAAUAAAUCGGGAAAGCGGAACUGGCUGGAAAACACUAGGUUUUGCCUCUACUAAUAUGCAGCCUAUCGAUCACCUACAAGCCAGCUCUAUUCAUCUGAAGGCGCACAGCUGUUACUAUAAGUUUAGUCUAUCAAAGACGGCACGGCUCCCACCAUUUCCGGGGUAUUAUUGGCAGACCAACUCGAAGUGCGAAAUCAUUUAGCAGAACCGGCCCAAUAGAGCUGUUGACUGCAGAUGUCCUUGCUCCGCUUCCUGAUAAGGAACAUACUAUGCUUACUAAAGAAGAACAAAAGAGGAACAUGUUAAAGAAUAGAAGGGGAAGCAUACUAUUGAGAUUCCCCUUCUUUCUAUACAAUGUUGGUUGCCCACCCAUGAUGAAUCAGAGCGUCCAAAGAAAUGCAAUUCCAUGAUGUCUCUCUAUAUGUGGCCACGUGCAUUUGGGAACUCAAUUGGGAGCAUUAGCUAACCAAUUAAAUGUGUGUCUGUUAGCUAAUGUCAGUAUCAUAUCACAUUCUUAUUUGAAGAACCCUAGAAUGAGACGCAGCUUUAGUGCCUUCUGUUGGACCCACAUGUCAUAGGCACAAAGGCAUGUGCCUUAAGGCACCGAAGCGCAGUCCCUUAGGACGCAUGAUUGGUGUGUUAUUUAGCUUUAAAGGGUGGACAACUGCUAGUAGGACACAAAGCACCUACGCAGAUCGUAGUGUAGAUAUAAUGGGAAAACCCUAAGCAUCAGGAGUAAAAUCAGGAAAGUGGAACUUGCUGGAAUAUAUGUGCAAGUAUUGCCGGUACGGCUAGAAAGGCUUCACAUACCAGCUCCCUACAACUGAAGGCGUAGUACUGUUACUAUCAGUCUAACUCUCAAAGGUGACACAUACGAUCGAAUACGAAGAGUUGAAAGAGUCCAUGACAAUCGAUAUGAAUACCAACACGAAGAUUUGAAAGCGUCCAUGACAAGCGACCGAAUAGACUUGUACACUACAAAUGUCCCUACUCAUCUUCACUACAAAGAACAUACUGUACAACUAUUAUACUCCCUCUGUUCGUAAAUACAAAUCUUUGUAGAGAUUCCACUAUGGAUCACAUAAGGAUGUAUACAGAUACAUUUUAGAGUGUAGAUUCACUCAUUUUUCUCCGUAUGUAGUCCAUGGAGGAAUCUCUACAAAGACUUAUAUUUAGGUACGGAGAGAGUACUUACAAAGUAAGAACAGAAGAGGAGCAUGCUAAAGAAGAGCAAGCAUAUUUUGGAUAAUAAAAUUUUGGUUGGCCACACAUGAUGAACCAGAGCACAUAAAGAACGCAACUCCCUACUGUCCCUCGAUAUGUGGCGCAUGUGCUUUUCGAAAGUAAAGUAGGAACAUUAACUGACCAAUUAAACAUUCUCAGUUUUAGUACAUGUCAGCAUCAAGAUUCGUAUUUGAGCAUCUAAGUUUGGAAUUAUGAGUGGCAUGUUGUUUAGCUUGAUGGGUUGAGGAGCACUGCUUGCACGUACGUCUCGAAGCACCUACGAUAAUAGUACCGAAUAUAUGGGAAUGUCUACAUGCAAGUCGCGUGACUUUUGUCAUUUGGGUCAGUCGACCAUUUCAGGCGGUUGGAUGAAGAUCCUACGUCUCCUAACCCUUCUUCUUCCUCGUCUCUCAUNNNNNNNNNNNNNNNNNNNNNNNNNNNNNNNNNNNNNNNNNNNNNNNNNNNNNNNNNNNNNNNNNNNNNNNNNNNNNNNNNNNNNNNNNNNNNNNNNNNNNNNNNNNNNNNNNNNNNNNNNNNNNNNNNNNNNNNNNNNNNNNNNNNNNNNNNNNNNNNNNNNNNNNNNNNNNNNNNNNNNNNNNNNNNNNNNNNNNNNNNNNNNNNNNNNNNNNNNNNNNNNNNNNNNNNNNNNNNNNNNNNNNNNNNNNNNNNNNNNNNNNNNNNNNNNNNNNNNNNNNNNNNNNNNNNNNNNNNNNNNNNNNNNNNNNNNNNNNNNNNNNNNNNNNNNNNNNNNNNNNNNNNNNNNNNNNNNNNNNNNNNNNNNNNNNNNNNNNNNNNNNNNNNNNNNNNNNNNNNNNNNNNNNNNNNNNNNNNNNNNNNNNNNNNNNNNNNNNNNNNNNNUUCGGCGAGGCCCCACCACCCCCCACAACCACCGUCCCCACCUGAGCCCCUUCCUUCGCACCGGAACUCCGGCGAGCUCUCAAAAAUCGACUGACCCAAUUUUGAAAUUUAGUCUACUGUCAUUUAACCAGUGUGGAAUAUAAAAGGGGAAAACCAUAAGCAUUGCGAGUAUAGUGUUGAGCGUGCCAUGGCGGAUCUGAAGGUGCAAACCGGACAAAGGCAACUUCGCAACCAAUGUUUGCUUUCAACUAACAAGUAAGUGAUGGACAAGAAAUCAGAGUAAAGCAGUGGCGAUCUAUUUUCUUGCUGGGAUAAAUAAGUUGAGCAGAUACGAAAGAGUACCGCCUCUGGUGCGGCGCCGUGUAUGUAUCUGCUGAGAAUUUGACAGUGCUGCAGUAACGAUGGUUGUCGGCAAUGUGGAAGCAGAUCUAGGAGGGUAGACGGUGGCGGCGGGGGAAAUAUCUCGGCGUGGUGGAGGAGACGGUCGUAGGAGCGGCGCAAGCAAGGUGGACGACGGCAGGGAUGAAGCGAGAGGACGGGAUGCAAGGAUCCCUGUCCGAAGCCGUGGAUGAGAGAGGUCGAUCUCUUGUAAUGGACGAUGGUGUCGGGGUAUCAGCUCCGGCAUGGUGGAGGAGGACGGCGGUGGAUGGGGUGGCGGACGAAGGAGGCUGGGGUGGAGAGGGUGUUUUGGCGCCCAUGGAGUACGAAUGGGGAAAUGGAGGCAGAGAGGAAGGGGGGAACCAUGUCUUCAGGGCGCACUUGUCUCAAAUGCGAGGAAAUUUACAAACUUAGUCCCCGUUUAAAAUUUCCUACAUCACAUCAAUAUUAGUCGGUUGGGGAUAGGACGGUAAUCUCGCAUACACCAAAUAUUUGCCGACGAGAGUUUGUUUUGGCGCCCACCAUGUAUGAAUCGGGGAGGGAGUCGAUUUCGGCCGAGGAGACACUGUGUUUUGGUGCCCACCGUGUAUGAAUCCGGGUGAGAGGCGCUUAUGUCAUGUUUGAGUGAAAUUAUGAACCUACCCCUAUCGAAACCUAUAGAAAUCGAGCCGUUAGGCUUUGCGUGCCAGGGAUAGGCAGUAAUUUCCAUCUCGCAGAUUUUGGUUUCGGGCGGUUACUGCGACUUUCCCCGCUUCGUUCAAUUUUUUGCAGAGCAAGAGUGCACGUUUAUCGUGCCAACUCAAUUCGAAUCCAGUUUGUAUUCUAUUUUUGUUCGGGCAGGAUCCAUUUUCGAUUGGAAUAAAAUUCUAUAUACAUCAUUUUUUAUAUACUUUCAAAAGCACAAGACCCUUUAUACAUAAAUAUGGUUUACAAAUGACAUGAUCUCAGAUUCAUAAGGCUAGAUCCAUCUUAAUUUGGAUUUUCAAAUAUUUGAAACCACUUUAUGUUGAAAUCCAGUGUAUGCAUUCCUCGCUAACUGUCUCCAAUUAAUGUGUGUUUCAUGCUAUUCUUUUACUUCUCAAACAUGUAUAGUGUGUUUCACACACGCAACAUAUAGUGUAAUCCCGUUUAGAAAUUAAUUGCAUAUAAACCAUGCAUUGUCUCUAAUGAAAGAAUCUAUGGAUCAAUAAUAUUGAUGAACUAUAUAACAUUACAUGUGUCCCCUAAUUCAAAUGAAUAUGCAUGUUUGAUACACCAAUUUUCUUUAUGAUAUUAUCGAUGUUGUGAUCUCUAGUUUAAAUAUUUGAAUCCCCUUUAAUCCAGAUAUUCGUCUCAUACUAGUAAGGUACACGUGCAUUGCACACAUGAGAUUUGGCAACCAAAUUAUGAAUAAAUACCACAUUAUAUAUAUCAUGUAAGCUUUGAGUCAUAUAUGCAUGAUGUGGAUGUUCGUUUAAUUCUUAUAGUUCAUCUCAUUCAAAAUCAUUUAGUUUUAAUAAAAAAGCUAAUCUAUUUUAAGAUUCAUGCAAUUGUGUGUUGUAAAGCAUAAAGUCAAAAACAAAUAAUGGCAAUUCAUGUAGAAAAAAAUUUGGGCAAUUAUGAUACGGAAGAUUCUAGAACAAAGGAGAAGUGCUUGUGUUUUGAGGUUUGUGCAUUAUGCUUAAGUUCAACAAUGGAGUCUUCUAGAUUGUACAUGUGGCAAAAUCAGGUGGGAUGUAGAUGAUAUCCAACGGCAAGUAGUGCUCGGAUUUGCCAUCUCUGCACCGUCGGAUUGGCUUCAUCCAACGACCAUCUUUCAAAGUUAUUCGCACACUAUGUAGGGGUAUAGAUAGCUAUCACUCAUGCUUAUAUAGGAGUAUUUCUCUAGACCUAUACGUGUUCAUCGUCUCUCGGGUAUCUCUCGUGCUACGUGUAUGUCGACAAUGAUCUUUUAUCUUCGUAACACACUGACGGUACUCUCUCCCUCGACCUUCAUCACUCUAUCUCUCUCUAAGUAUAUCUCGCUCCCUGCUAUGUGUCUCUAACUAUGAUUCUCCAUGUGAAAUCUCUUUCUCUCACACGAACACAAACUUCGUCUCCCGGGGUCUCAUUUCUCUCUACUAUUCCCCUGUGUGCCACUCGCACACCCCCUCUCACACAGAGAUGUCUUGCGCUCCUUAGGUAUGAUAAUCUACGACUCUUCCUCUUAAAUAUCUCUUUCUCACACACAAGCACAAACUCUGUCUCCCACGGUCUCAUAUCUCUCCACCAUUCUCUUGUAUGUCGCUCACACACACUCUCUCUCCCUAGAGAUAUCUCGCGUUCCCUGAUAUGUCUCUCUAGCUAUCACUCUCGUUGUGAAAUAUCUUUCUCUCUCACAAACACAAAACUCCGUCUCUCGGGAUCUCAUUUCUCUCUGAUAUUUGUUUGUAUGUGACUCACAUGCACUCUCUCUCUAGCUCUCUCACACCCACACACAUAACUCAGCCUUCUGAUCCACUCGACUCUUAUCUCUAACACACACACUAGCUAGCAUCUUUAUCUUUCUAUUUAUCUGUUUCUCCAUCAACCUUCUUUCUCGCCCUCACUCUUGCUUCCUAUCACGCACACUAUAUAUGUUUCUCUCUACAUACAGUCAUAUGCCCUAUUUUUUAUCUUUCUCUCACACACACAUAACUUCACCCUCUGAACCACUCGGCGGUCAUCUCCAACACUCAAACUAGCCGAUGUCCCUCUAGCUAGCAUCUCUAUCUCUCUAUCUAUCUGUAGUUUCUCCGUCAACAUUUCUUUCUCGCACGCACUCUUGCUUCCAAUCACACACACUAUAUCUGUCUCCCCAUACAUGCAUCUAUUGGUUGAUCUCUUUUGCACAAUCAUUGUGUCUCGCUCCCUCUGCUCGCCAUAGAUGCAUGCUCCAGCCCACGCCACUAUCUCUUAAAGACAAAAACAUAUGCUCAAUUAUCGGGCCUUCUUCCAUGCACUCUCACAUGCAUGCAUAUUGUCGUACCGAUCUGUCUCUCCCAUGUCGUUGAUCUUAUGACUUAUGUCUUCUUUAUUUUAUCUCGAUCAUGCGCGCACGCACACACACACACACAUCCCACGUAUACAUGUAUACCUCUCGCACAUGCACAUUCAAGGUCUCCUAUGUCUCCAUACGUAGUUAAUUACCCUCAGCCCUAACCCCACAUUGAAUCGUUCUCUUCUUGUGUGCACAUAACUUCUGCCUGGAUGGGUAAAACAUACACUCACACUUAACAAUCUCCUUCUAGCUACCCCCCUCUCGCUCUUCCCCUAUAUCCCCGAAACCAAUAAGACCAUCUUCGUUUAAUUCCCGCCUACAUGCACCAUCGAUAUAUAGUAGUCUUCCUUGGUGUCUCUCGAACAAACACGUUCUCUUGAUGUUGACUCCUCUCAUGCGCACACGCCUUCUCUUCCCUCUCUACGGGCCUUUUCUCUGUCGCACCCCCUCGUUGGUGGCCUUUCCCAUACACGUCACCUUUCUACGAUGAAGCCACACACACUUAAAUUACUUUCGCCACCGAAGACUCCGCGUCACACACACACACGCACGCGCGCGCGCAACCACCCACCCACCCACCCACACACACACACACGCACACACACACACACUAAGACUCCAUCUCACACACACAUGCUCUAGGCGGAGCAUUUGUUCCUACCACCCUUCGUCCAACCUUACCCGUAUGAUAAACAAUCACCUUAAUUUACUUGUAUAACAUGGACAAAUUCCACUUUACUUUAGUAGUUAGCAAACUUCUCAUAAUUAUAUAACGCAAAUCACGAGCAGGAAGUGACAUUUUUUUUACACAACCACGUUAACAUGGCCACGUAAAUCACUAGCUAAAGUGUAAAUACCAUUAUACUUAUAUCCCGAUGCAAAAGGUUGAGUACAUGUCCGAAGAGUAGAGUCGCACACACGCACUCUGUCUCUCAGAAUCUCACACACACAACAGUUACGUGACACCCCCUUAAGCAGACUUUACAAUUUGUGCACCCGCGGGUACAUGUGAUGGUGCGCAUUUAUUUAAGCCGGACAGCGAACCCAAACAGUAGCUGCAUUCAUUCCCCUCCCGCCGCCUCUUCUAUGGUUGCUGUCGCCCGAUAGCCAUGGCCCGGCCAAAGGUAACGACAUACGCCAUACUUCCGUCGGAGCGGCGCUUUAAUCUGGAGGCGGCGCAAAGCCCGGAUCGCACCCGCCCUGCCUCCGGAGUCCGUACUAGCCAGAGCCAGACUAGGAGGCGUUGGAGGCGGAGCAGCACGCGGAGCCGGAGGAGGAGAACAACGACGCGGAGCCGGAACAGGAGGACGACGACGCGGGCGAAGCGGAGCCGGAGGAGGACGAUGAUUUCCAUUAUACUCAGACUUAAAGGGCUUUGAGUUUCAUGCCACAUUUAUUUCAUAGAGAUAAGAGAAAGGAAAUUUUAGUGGUCAUGCAUGCAUCUUUUUGUGCUAGCACUCCUAUAUAAGGGUUGACCGGUCGCUUCCCACAGAUGUGUGCGGGCGGUGGAAGAGGAAGGAGAAGGGAAGCGGGAUGUGGAGUAGCAUUUUUUACCACAAUUUCUUAGGAAACUGAGUGCAAUAAUUGAGUAGUUUUAAAAACUACCAGUACUACACCUGAAACAGUUCAAAACCAAUACCACCACCACGCCCGCGUCUGACCGCCCUGGCCGGACCAACCCCCCUCCCUUGCCGGCGCGCGCUUCCCACGUGAAACGGUCAGCGUCGCCCCGGAGCGUCAGUGCCGCAUUAAUGCCCGGCCAGAGCGGAGGCGACCUCUCACUGGCACCGGUUUUGAAGUAGCGCGACGGCUGAGAGGGCGCCGCUACCUGGUGCACGCGACUGCUCUGCGUUGAGGCUGGCCAUAGUUUGGAUGAGUCUCCAUCAUGGGGAGCCACACUAGUUGCGAUGAUAUGGACUCCCGUUGCCCACAGUUAUGGAUCAUUCCAUCCAUGAAGAACACGUGGGACUGGAACUACGAGACGGACAUGUACCCAGGAGUGGACGUCCAAACCUGAGUAAUGUAGCGCAGUAAGUGAAGUAGAAAGGCACAAAUACUAUGAACAUGCAUGGCAUAUAGGCAUUUGUCUCUUACUACCACUAAAUGUUGUACGUGCAAUGCACGGUGAUGUUAUGAUGUACGUGCCUAAGUACUCUACUACUAUAUUAAUUGGAGGCACAUAUUAGGUUUUAUAUUUGUUUACAUGUAUGCCCGAGACCUUCCAACUAGACGUGUCUUUCUCUCCGGGUCACACUUUGUAUCGUUCAUACCACUAGUACUACUACAUGUGGUCUCCGAUCCAGAAGUGGAAGAAGUGGAGACGCUUUACCACACUGUUCAUGUCCCACUCCUUUCGCUGACGUGUGGGACAUCCAGCACGUGCCGUGUUUGGCACUCCUUUGUCGUAAGAGUUGAAACGCUAGGAUUCAUCAAAAAUAAACAAUAAAUAUAAAUCAGCAGUGAUACUAUACCACGCGGUUUCCUUGCUCCUCAAUAUUGGAAAGAAUACUUCCGUUCGCCAACAUGUGGGACGUCGACCAUCCUGGUCCAGUUGCCAUGCACGCAGAACUCCAAGGGAGAGUUACCCCGGUCGUCGUGCCGCAUUAAUAAUGACUAAUGAGCCAUCAAAUCACAGGCCCAACCUUUCCCACUGUGAAGUUGCUCGGACGAAGGAACCAUCAUGACUUCGUUGAAUUCCGCUUCUUCAAGAAAACUACUGUACCAGCAGUACUGCUAGCCACAGUAGUACUGUACUCCAGCAGAGGCCUCCUUUGGUUCAUAGGAUAGGAAUUUUAUAGGAAUAUGAAAAUCUCGAUAACAUGCAUCUCAAUUCCUAUAGAUAAAGAGAUGCCAUUUGAUGCAUAGGAUAGGAAUUUUUUCAUUGAGUCUAGGCUAAUGUACUGGUAAUUUUCUCUAAAACUUAUAAUAGUAGUAACUAGUACCGGUACAUGCUCGUAAUUAAUUAAACAAACGUACGAGUGACACAGAAACACACACUAACUACUAGUACUACUGCUUCUCACAUGCUGGCCAGACGCCAUCGUUCUCCUUCCCGGCUUUGUCGGCGACACCCCACCGUGCUUGGAUCUCCGCCAACCUCUCUGCAGCGGCGCGUGCGUCCUCUUCUUUCAUGUGGCGGCGGGCCUCUCUUUUCUUGAGUGCUUUCUGACUUUUGUGCUCCCUCUGUGCGGCUUUGGCCGCCUCUUGCUCUACCGCCCAUUCGGCCUUGGCAGCUUCAAAUUCCGCCCAUGCAGGUGUGAGGUCGCGAGCGGCGAUGAACUCGGCACGGCGGGAUGCCAUAGCUUCCCUACCAUUUUGUGUGCGGUCGUGGGCGGCGAGGAACUCGGCGCGGCGGGAUGCCAUCGCUUCCUUACCGGUUAGUGUGCGGCGCGGUGGCAUGAACGACGCUUGGUGAAAGCUCUGGGGUGGAGUGGCCGGACAACCGUAUAGUGUAUUGGUUUGUCAAGAGCUCAAGGACAGAAGACGAAGGAAAUUUGGAUUCCCCUUGAAUCCUGGUCAUUUAUUACUGAGUAAAAUGCAUUGGCGGUCAUCGAACCUAUCUUGAUAGCUCACUUUGAUCAUUGUAUACGAGAUAUGGUGAUUAUACGGUCACUGGCUCAGCGUAUAGCUCCGUAUUUGUCUGGUUGACCAGUUAAACAGUCCGCAUGCGCCUCAUCAGCUCGUGUUCUGUAUCUACUCUAUCUAUGCGGGCCUACCUGUCAGUGGAGAAAGAAAUGAAAAACAAAAUUAUGCGUAUGUGAGGAAUCAAACCACGGACUCGUCGUUGCAAUGCACACUCGUGAGCCAAAUGAAAAUGAAAUACUUUGUGUUAAAUGCACAAACCGAUUUUUUUAUAUUAUACGUGAUGCACACAUUAGCGCACACCGUCCAUAGAGGCAAGUAGCAUGUACGUGUGCAGACACUCACGCUCACGCUGUCAAACCAUGCUAAUGCAUGCACGUCGCACUUUCAAUCAAAGUCCUGCUCAUGGCGUAACGCAAACGGCGAGCCCGUCACCUGCGCGCCCCGGCGAUGCCUGACAUUACUGUUUAGACGUUUGCUGGCGGCCUCCGCGAACACCGAGUAUGUAUUCACCUGGCUCAACACCAACGGUCAUACUCGUGCUUGGGCGCCGAGCUGCUCGACAUUAGCCAUGGCUCUGCACACGACGCGACGACGUGACUCGGCGCCUUAAUCAUGUAUAUCAUCCAUCACAACGACAAUCUAUAAAACAGCCUAGCUAGAGAGGGUACUAUGGCACCUAUAUAUGUAUCGUGAGCGACGAUCAUAGUGCCACUGCACACGAGUGUGUGUUUGAUCGAUUCGUCCAUUAUUCGUAAGUUAUGCAUAGUUGUGUGCUGUCUAAUGGUGGUCAUUGAAGGCUAGCUGGCGACAAGAGCGGUUGCAUGGACGCCUGGUUGUCAAUACGUGUCGCAUACGCUUCAAAGGCUCGUCAUCCAUGAGUUCACAUUUUACCACCACGCCAGCGUCUGACCGCCCUGGCCUACCAAAACCCCUUCCAUUGCUAGCGCAUGCUUCCCGCCUGAAACAGUCACCGUCUCUCCAGAACGUCAAUGCCGCAUUCACGGGACUUAACUACAGGUGUAGUUGGUGUGUCACUGAUAUGCGUCCAGAUGCCUGUUGGGUCCACAUGUCAGUGACCCAACUACACCUGCAGUUAAGUCACUAAAGCAACGUCCGCAUUCACGCCCGACGCGACCUCUCACUGGCACCGGCAUUGCAGCAACGCGACGGCCGAGAGAGCGCCACCCGCGCGACAUCUCGAUGCAAGCGACUGCUUCGCCUUAACGACACCACGGCCAUCCUUCCCUCCGCCGCCCACAUUAAUGACAUGUGGCUGUCGACGAACCUACUCCGGCACCAGCCGUCCAUCUCUCUGUCGCGGUUCAUUGCCAUUCGCCCGCUAUAUUAACUUGAGCCCCAGCUCCCAGCCAUAGCCAAAGACCCACAUUCUCCUCCGGUCCCUUCCUUCUAUCGGCACCACUCCAACCAUGGCCUCCCGGCGCUCCAAAGCUCUCUUGGACGUACUGUCGCGGGAGCAGACAAAGGACAUCACCGGCUCCCCCCCGGCCGCCCUCCGCCUCCACGACCACGAAACCGGUGCGCAUGCACGGGCGCAACCGGCAGCGAGGAAGAGUAGGACACGGUAGGUCGCCGCCGCUCUGGUCCCAGGAAGGCCACUGCUCCUCCACUCAGCCGACGCCAAGCUUGGUGGGGUAAACAUCGGCGGCCGAUUAGCCCCUUGACGGCGUCGUGGAGGCGGAAAUCUUCAAAACCUUGUGCUCCGAGGGAGGAGGUUAUCGAGGCGGAGCUGGACAAAGCCAAGGCGGAUGAGAAGGAGGCAAAGGCAAUGGCCGGCAUUCUCGGGGCUCAUGGCCGGACAUGGUGGUCGGGCACCGGCGAUCGUUUAGAUUAGGUUUUAGUACGGUUUGUGCGAAAUAUGUAAUGAAUUUCGUCCAGUUUAUAGGAAAAGUUUUUGAAAUGUAAUGAAUUUCAUCUGGUUAAUUUGAAAUUUGCUUUGUUUGCACGAAUUUCGUCUGAUUAGUUCAUAUAGUUGUCGAAAGGUAUGCGGGCAGCAUUGGAUGGAAUCCUCUGGCAUCAGUGUCCUCGGACAGAUGCCGGUGUAAAUCUGUGGGCCAGCGCUGGAAUGCCCUAACUAUCAUGCUAUAAUCGCUAACAGUGCUCCAUUAUUUCGCAGGGAACAGUUAUCCCUCGAUCAAAAUCAGAUCCAUCGUGUUUCACACUCCUCCCACGUAAGAGUGUAGACUGUUGCUUACAUAAAAAUGGAGCAAGUGGAUGGCACUGUAGCACGUCAUAUCACUCAAACUAGCCCACCUAACGCGCGAGAAAGCCCCACCCUCGUCAUUUUGUUCUGGAUUUCUAUCGAUCGAUCGCACGAAAAUGUUACCCUUUGCAAGUUCAAAAGGAAAAGGUGGCACACUUACGACUCAUACGCGUCGCACCCCCGACAGUCCAGCUCGCACGCCGCUCACCAGAGGGGACACGCGUUGUCUUGCAUUUUCACUAACAUGUGGGACUGCAAUCAAUAAACCAUCGAUAGCCGAAAUCUAAUCGCUCGGAGGGCGUCGACUGAGAAGAGAGAGAUGAGGGAGGGAGAAGAGAUCGCCUGCCCGCCGUGCACGGACUCCAAGAAAUAUAUGGUGAUAAUGUGAUGUGGGCCAUGCGGGAGUCCGGACCGCUUCCAAGCCCACUUCUGACCGCCCUAGCCCACCAAAAAACCCCUCCCGCACGCGCUCCCCCCUCAAACGCCAGCUGCUCGCAUUCAUAGCAAGUAGUACUGGUAGAAUACUAGGCUAUAAGCCCACUUAUGUGGAGGAGAGAGAGGCAUUGACAAAGUCAAGGAGUGGGCUCUGCAAGAGCCCGUCUCUACACGUGCUCCUAGGUAUAAAAAAACUAAUUCUAAAAAAGAGGUAUAAAAAACAACUGUGUCUAAAAAAAGAAAGAUAAAAAACAUUUGAGAGGAAAUAGAUAGAGAGAAAGUGAGAAAAAGUUGUAACCUUAUAGCCAACCUUAUAGUCAACACUAUGGUAGUAUUACAUGAGGAAGGAGGGAGUUGUGCAUAUGCCAAGUUCACUGGGCUGCCUGUUUCACACUCCUCCAUCGUAACAGUGGAGACAAUAGCUUUCAUAAAAAAUAAACAAUAAUGAAUACUCGUUGCUUGUCCUCUAUAUCGGAAAGAAUACUUUCAUUCGCCGACAUGUGGGACAUCGACCAUCCUGGUCCACCUGCCAUGCACAAAAUUAUCCUGGCCCAUCCCGGUCAUAGCGCAGGCUCAACCUUUCCCACUGUAAGUUGGUCAGAAGAAGGAACCAUCAUGACUUCGUUGAAUUCCGCUUCUUCAAGAAAACUUACUGUACCCGCAAUACUGCUACCACACACAAAGACUGGACGGCACUGUACCACGUCAUAUCACUGAAACCCACUAGGCCAAACUAGCCUAGGAUUUGUACUCCCUCCGUUUCAAAGUUAGUAGUACAAAGUUGAGUCAUCUAUUUUGGAAUGGAGGGAGUACGUUUCUGUACUGCUAUAAUUUUGUGUUCUCAAAGAAUAUCCUUUGUCAAUCUAACGAUUAGCAGUAGAAAGAGGGUCUUUCUCUCUCUCUAGAUCUCUCUCCAUCCCACAACCCCUCUAGCACACGUACACACUCUCUGUAGCCACUCCGAAAGUACGACAUCACUACACAUUCAUGCUUCCAACAAAAAAAUUACACAUUCACGCAUGUUACAAGUACGUGCACAUUUUUCUGGAUAUUAAUGUGAGGCCUCCAUUGGUUUAGAGGAAUCUUGUAGGAAUUUCAUAGGAUAGGAUUUCUACAGGAAAAAAUUCUAUAGAGCCCUUUGGUUUAUAGGAAUGGAAUCAUAUUCCUAUGGAGGAAUUCUUCCUAUCCUCCACAUUUCAUAGGAAAAUAAAUAUUAGCCUAGACUCAAUGGAAAAAAAAAUCCUAUGAUGUGAAUCAAAGGGCAUCUCCUUUCCUAUUCCUACUCAUAGGAUUUAAGAUACAUGUCAUCUCAUUUCCUAUGACUUUCCUAUUGCUACGAUUUUCCUACCCUAUGAACCAAAUGAGGCCUAAAUGUAUCCGUGUCGACUAUUGUCUGAUCGAUCGCUAAGCCUACAAUUUUAGGAGCUUGGGCUAUUGGCCGAUCGACGACGGAUCAGACCUAUAAGCGUACCACGAGCUCAUCAGCCCCAAUGUUUCUCUUCGGUGAGUGUUUUGCAAGUACUAUAGCUCGCACAGUAGCUAGCCUACUAACACCAAGAAUCAUCAAACAAGCCCUGCUCAUAUGAUAAACAGUUCAAACUUACAUCUAAGCAUGCCAUAUAUUACAUCAAAAGCUGGUGAGGAUACAUCUGUUUCCAUAACUCGGAGAGGGUUCACAUGAUUCACUAUCAAACACAAGUACCGCCCACACAAGACAGUGCGCUAGCCCUAAGAUGGUUUGAUAACACGCAUCGUUCUGGUAAUUAAACACAAUGCAAACUACCCUGAAGGAUUAGCGCGACCAACUAUUUCUUGUCAUCAAUCUCUCGGGUAAUGACCAUAGCACGAACAACGGCAUGGGAAUCGAUCUCUGGGGUGAUGUCCACAGGACGGACCACAACAUCGGAAUCGAUCUCUGGGGCGAUGUCCACAGGAUGGACAGCGGCAUCGGAAUCGAUCUCCGGGGUGAUGUCCACAGGACGGACCGUGACAUCGAAAACGAUCUCUAGGGCGUUGUCCACAGGACGGACCACGACAUCGGAAUCAUCAAGGACGUCCACCGGCACCUGCACAACCCUAACAUAUUAGCAAGCACAUUGCAAAUAAUAAAAAACCACAACUAUGGUAAGCCAUUAUUUUUUACCUUGUGUAGCUCACCAGGGGAUCCCAUCCCUCCAGGGGCCAUCUCCUCGUCCUCGAUGGGGGCCAUCACCUUGCCAGGGGAAUACUGCUUCUCAACGGCGACUAUCUCCUCAAACUCGGCCUUGAGCCUCUCAUAGGUGGCCAUUAGAGUUUCUGGGGUAGGCACGGUGGGGCCCUUGCCGUUCUUCCGGCUUUCUUUGAGGAGUUCGUCCGCCAACGUUGUCAACUCUUUGGCCAGUGCUUGUUUCUUGGAGUUCUUCGUCUCCAUGGGUUGGCCCGCCAACAUGGUCAACUCGUUGGUCGGUGCUCGCUUCCUGGAGAUCUCUAUCUCGAGUGGGUUGUCCGCCGGCAACUCUUUGCCUAGUGCUCCAGGAUCCAUCAAUGAACUGACAAACAAAAAGCAAUCGAAAGGAAACCACAAUUGCAGUGAAAACGGGAAAGGAAUAGGUUGUGAGAAUUGGUCGGUGCUUCGCAAAAAGAAGAUUCUUGGAAUGAAAAUAUAGUAGCAUCACUGAUUCGCCCACCUUUCCUUCGUCGGCACAGAAGAAAAAUGGCAGAAGUGAGUAGCCUGGAGUGAGGUUUUCUUCAAGAAAGGGGAGAAAGGGCUUCAACGAGCGUUCCGGUGAAAUGAUGGUUGCUUCGUCCAGUCCAACUUCGAGGCCACUUUACCACUGCUCGUAAAGGUCAUGACGGCCACACCGGGGUGACCAGUGAGUCUCGACUAUAGCACCUCGCUGUGAUUUGGCGGCGCAUGUAGAUAGAGCGGCUAGUCAUAUACUCAAUAUUGUGCACCGCGACCAAGGCGGAGAGGAAAACGAGAGAAGUACGUAUUUAUUUACAGUGUAGAUUCACUCAUUUUGCUCCAUAUGUACUCAUUUAGGGUGUAGUCACUUGUUGAAAUCUCUAGAAAGGCAAAUACUCCUUUUCGGUUUAUAGGGCUUAUCUCAAAAUUAUAGAUUUCUCAUUUUAUAAGUCUCAAUUUGAUGGUUCCCUACCACAUGUUCAGAUUUCAAGGUGCAUUAAAUUAUUGCAUGCAAGUAUUAAGAGAAAAUUAACCAAUGCAUGGACUUCAUGCAUGCAUGCAUUGCAAUUAAUGCAUUAGUAAACAUAUUUUUUUGAGGAAAACGAGUGCAUUAAUUGAGUGUUUUUGCAAACUACACAAAUUAUUCCACCACUCAACAUCUACCUUGGUUGAUGAGAUUUUUGAAUUGAGCCCUAUAAACCAGAAAGGAGGUACUAGUAUACUACAAUAGUGGGCUUAUAGCCUGCUUACAUAGCAAUUUUGUCUCAUGCAAGAGCCUGGCUAUAUGCGUGCUCCAAGGCUCCGCACCACGCCCCUCCCCCACACAAAGACUGCCACGCGAGCGUUCACAACUGCCAUGUUCGGGUUGCGCUUGGCUCUUCGCCUCUUUGAGAAGACGAACAAUGAUGUUACUACUUCUACAGUAUCGAAUCAACUGUUGCAUGUCCGUCCACCACGUGCGGGAGGGAUAGCUUGUUGUAGUAAGCAAAAGCAUGUCCUUGUCUGCGAGCCACCACACGCAUGGGCGAGGGUGAAGGCAUGUAGUAGUAAAAUCAAGCUUCUCCUCGUUGUACGAGUUGACGCGACACAUCAUAGCACUGGCCCCACAUGCUUGCCUCCAAACUUGGCUAAAAGACCCGCAGUGUACAAUAUAUUUGCUGCAACCUCUAACAUUUACCCCAACACAAAUUAAAAUAUUUAUUCUUGUCUUGACCAGAUGAGCGUGCAAACUACAAUCACCAGGAUGAUAGGUAGGGCCAGAAGAUUAUUUUAAUAAAAAAUGCUUCGAGACGACCUCAUAGCAUGGAGCCGACCCCAACGAUUUUAAGCUUAGAGGCACGGUACACGCUAUCCUAGACUACGGGGCUGUUUGGUUCCUAGCCACACCUUGCCACACUUUGCCACACCUAACCUUAGGCAACUUUGACCAAAUUAGGUUGGUUCUAGCCACACCUAAGGAAAGAAUUUUUUAUGAGCAAUGAACCCCAUAUGUCAUAGACACAAAAAGUGUGGCAAGAUUCCCUUAGGCAAGCCAAACUGUGGCUAACAUUUGAGCAACUCAACUAAGGCAAGUGUGGCUAAAAUCAUGUGGCAACAUAUGGCAAAGAUAGACACAGUCCAAACAGCCCCUACUCUACACAUGAAACUGCCACACGAGCAUCCGGGCUGCGCUUGGCUCUUCGCCUCUUCGGGAAGUCGAACAAUGAUGGUACUACUGAAGGAAAUAUGCCCUAGAGGCAAUAAUAAAGUUAUUAUUUAUUUCCUUAUAUCAUGAUAAAUGUUUAUUAUUCAUGCUAGAAUUGUAUUAACUGGAAACUUGAUACAUGUGUGAAUACAUAGACAAACAGAGUGUCACUAGUAUGCCUCUACUUGACUAGCUCGUUGAUUAAAGAUGGUUAUGUUUCCUAGCCAUAGACAUGAGUUGUCAUUUGAUUAACGGGAUCACAUCAUUAGGAGAAUGAUGUGAUUGACUUGACCCAUUCCGUUAGCUUAGCACUCGAUCGUUUAGUAUGUUGCUAUUGCUUUCUUCAUGACUUAUACAUGUUCCUAUGACUAUGAGAUUAUGCAACUCCCGUUUACCGGAGGAACACUUUGUGUGCUACCAAACGUCACAACGUAACUGGGUGAUUAUAAAGGUACUCUACAGGUGUCUCCGAAGGUACUUGUUGGGUUGGCGUAUUUCGAGAUUAGGAUUUGUCACUCCGAUUGUCGGAGAGGUAUCUCUAGGCCCACUCAGUAAUACACAUCACUAUAAGCCUUGCAAGCAUUGUAACUAAUGAGUUAGUUGCGGGAUGAUGUAUUACGGAACGAGUAAAGAGACUUGCCGGUAACGAGAUUGAACUAGGUAUCGAGAUACCGACGAUCGAAUCUCGGGCAAGUAACAUACCGAUGACAAAGGGAACAACGUAUGUUGUUAUGCGGUCUGACCGAUAAAGAUCUUCGUAGAAUAUGUGGGAGCCAAUAUGAGCAUCCAGGUUCCGCUAUUGGUUAUUGACCGGAGAGGUAUCUCUGUCAUGUCUACAUAGUUCUCGAACCCGUAGGGUCCGCACGCUUAACGUUACGAUGACGGUUAUAUUAUGAGUUUAUGUGUUUUGAUGUACCGAAGGAGUUCGGAGUCCCGGAUGAGAUCGGGGACAUGACGAGGAGUCUCUAAAUGGCCGAGACGUAAAGAUCGAUAUAUUGGACGACUAUAUUCGGACUUCGGAAAGGUUCCGAGUGAUUCGGGUAUUUUUCGGAGUACCGGAGAGUUACGGGAAUUCGUAUUGGGCCUUAAUGGGCCAUACGGGAAAGGAGAGAAAGGCCCCAAAGGGUGGCCGCACCCCUCCCCAUAGACUAGUCCGAAUUGGACUAGGGAGGGGGGGCGCCCCCUUCCUUCUUUCUCCUUCUCCCUUCCCUUCUCCUAUUCCAACAAGGAAAGGAGGAGUCCUACUCCCGGUGGGAGUAGGACUCCCCCCUUGGCGCGCCCUCCUCCUUGGCCGGCCGCCUCCCCCUUGCUCCUUUAUAUACGGGGGCAGGGGGACACCCCAUAGACAAACAAUUGAUCAACGAUCUUUUAGGCGUGUGCGGUGCCCCCCUCCACCAUAUUACACCUUGAUAAUAUCGUAGCGGAGCUUAGGCGAAGCCCUGCGUCGGUAGAACAUCAUCAUCGUCACCACGCCGUCGUGCUGACAAAACUCUCCCUCAACACUCGGCUGGAUCGAAGUUCGAGGGACGUCAUCGAGCUGAACGUGUGCUGAACUCGGAGGUGCCGUGCGUUCGGUACUUGAUCGGUCGGAUCGUGAAGACGUACGACUACAUCAACCGCGUUGUGUUAACGCUUCCGCUUUCGGUCUACGAGGGUACGUGGACAACACUCUCCCCUCUCGUUGCUAUGCAUCACCAUGAUCUUGCGUGUGCGUAGGAUUUUUUUUGAAAUUACUACGUUCCCCUAUAGUGGCAUCCGAGCCAGGUUUUAUGCGUUGAUGUUAUGAACGAGUAGAACACAAGUGAGUUGUUGGCGAUACAAGUCAUACUGCUUACCAGCAUGUCAUACUUUGGUUCGGCGGUAUUGUGAGAUGAAGCGGCCCGGACCGACAUUACGCGUACGCUUACGCGAGACUGGUUUCACCGUUGCGAGCACUCGAUGCUUAAAGGUGACUGGCGGGUGUCUCUCUCUCUCACUUUAGUUGAACCGAGUGUGGCUACGCCCGGUCCUUGCGAAGGUUAAAACAGCACCAACUUGACAAACUAUCGUUGUGGUUUUGAUGCGUAGGUAAGAACGGUUCUUGCUAAGCCUGUAGCAGCCACGUAAAACUUGCAACAACAAAGUAGAGGACGUCUAACUUGUUUUUGCAGGGCAUGUUGUGAUGUGAUAUGGUCAAGACAUGAUGCUAUAUUUUAUUGUAUGAGAUGAUCAUGUUUUGUAACCGAGUUAUCGGCAACUGGCAGGAGCCAUAUGGUUGUCGCUUUAUUGUAUGAAAUGCAAUCGCCAUGUAAUUGUUUUACUUUAUCACUAAGCGGUAGCGAUAGUCGUAAAAGCAAUAGUUGGCGAGACGACAACGAUGCUACGAUGGAGAUCAAGGUGUCGCGCCGGUGACGAUGGUGAUCAUGACGGUGCUUCGGAGAUGGAGAUCACAAGCACAAGAUGAUGAUGGCCAUAUCAUAUCACUUAUAUUGAUUGCAUGUGAUGUUUAUAUUUUAUGCAUCUUAUCUUGCUUUGAUUGACGGUAGCAUUAUAAGAUGAUCUCUCACUAAAUUUUCAAGAUAAAAGUGUUCUCCCUGAGUAUGCACCGUUGCCAAAGUUCUUCGUGCUGAGACACCACGUGAUGAUCGGGUGUGAUAGGCUCUACGUUCAAAUACAACGGGUGCAAAACAGUUGCACAUGCGGAAUACUCAGGUUAAACUUGACGAGCCUAGCAUAUGCAGAUAUGGCCUCGGAACACUGAGACCAAAAGGUCGAGCGUGAGUCAUAUAGUAGAUAUGAUCAACAUAGUGAUGUUCACCAUUGAAAGCUACUCCAUUUCAUGUGAUGAUCGGUUAUGGUUUAGUUGAUAUGGAUCACGUGAUCACUUAGAGGAUUAGAGGGAUGUCUAUCUAAGUGGGAGUUCUUAAGUAAUAUGAUUAAUUGAACUUAAAUUUAUCAUGAACUUAGUCCUGAUAGUAUUUUGCAAAUUAUGUUGUAGAUCAAUAGCUCGCGUUGUUGCUUCCCUGUGUUUAUUUUUUGAUAUGUUCCUAGAGAAAAAUUAUGUUGAAAUAUGUUAGUAGCAAAGAUGCGGAUUGGAUCCGUGAUCUGAGGAUUAUCCUCAUUGCUGCACAGAAGAAUUAUGUCCUUGAUGCACCGCUAGGUGACAGACCUAUUACAGGAGCAGAUGCAGACGUUAUGAACAUUUGGCUAGCUCAAUAUGAUGACUACUUGAUAGUUUAGUGCACCAUGCUUAACGGCUUAGAACCGGGACUUCAAAGACGUUUUGAACGUCAUGGACCAUAUGAGAUGUUCCAGGAGUUGAAGUUAAUAUUUCAAGAAAAUACCCGAGUUGAGAGAUAUGAAGUCUCCAACAAGUUCUAUAGCUAAAAGAUGGAGGAGAAUAGCUCAAGUAGUGAGCAUGUGCUCAGAUUGUCUGGGUACUACAAUCGCUUGAAUCAAGUGGGAGUUAAUCUUCCAGAUAAAAUAGUGAUUGACAGAAUUAUCUAGUCACCAUCACCAAGUUAGUAGAACUUCGUGAUGAGCUAUAGUAUGCAAGGGAUGACGAAAGUAAUUCCCGAGCUCUUCGUGUGCUGAAAUCGACGAAGGUAGAAAUCAAGAAAAACAUCAAGUGUUGAUGGUUGACGAGACCACUAGUUUCAAGAAAAGGGCAAAGGGAAGAAGGGGAACUUCAAGAAGAACGGCAAGCAAGUUGCUGCUCAAGUGAAGAAGCCUAAUUCUGGUCCUAAGCUUGAGACUAAGUGCUUCUACUGCAAAGGGACUGGUCACUGGAAGCGGAACUACCCCAACUAUUUGGUGGAUAAGAAGGAUGGCAAAGUGAACAAAGGUAUAUUGGAUAUACAUGUUAUUGAUGUGUACUUUACUAGUGUUUAUAGCAACCCCUCGGUAUUUGAUACUGGUUCAGUUGCUAAGAGUAGUAACUCGAAACGGGAGUUGCAGAAUAAACAGAGACUAGUAAAAGGCGAGGUGAUGAUGUGUGUUGGAAGUAGUUUCAAGAUUGAUAUGAUCAUCAUCGCACACUCCCUAUACUUUCGGGAUUAGUGUUGAAACUAAAUAAGUGUUAUUUGGUGUUUGCGUUGAGCAUGAAUAUGAUUUGAUCAUGUUUGUUGCAAUACGGUUAUUCAUUUAAAUUAGAGAAUAAUUGUUGUUCUGUUUACAUGAAUAAAACCUUCUAUGGUCAUACACCCAAUAAAAUGGUUUGUUGGAUCUCGAUCGUAGUGAUACACAUAUUCAUAAAAAUGAAGCCAAAAGAUGCUAAGUUAAUAAUGAUAGUGCAACUUAUUUGUGGCACUGCCGUUUAGGUCAUAUUGGUGUAAAGCGCAUGAAGAAACUCCAUACUGAUGGGAUUUUGGAAUCACUUGAUUAUGAAUCACUUGAUGCUUGCGAACCGUGCCUCAUGGGCAAGAUGACUAAAACGCCGUUCUCCGGAACUAUGGAGAGAGCAACAGAUUUGUUGGAAAUCAUACAUACAGAUGUAUGUGGUCCGAUGAAUAUUGAGGCUCGUAGCAGGUAUCAUUAUUUUCUGACCUUCACAGAUGAUUUGAGCAGAUAUGGGUAUAUCUACUUAAUGAAACAGAAGUCUGAAACAUUUGAAAAGUUCAUAUAAUUUUAGAGUGAAGCGGAAAAUCAUCGUAACAAGAAAAUAAAGUUUCUACGAUCUGAUCGUGGAGAAGAGUAUUUGAGUUACGAGUUUGGCCUUCAGUUAAAACAAUGUGAAAUAGUUUCACUACUCACGCCACCUAGAACACCACGGUGUAAUGGUGUGUCCGAACAUCAUAACCGUACUUUAUUAGAUAUGGUGCGAUAUAAGAUGUCUCUUACCGAUCUACCACUAUCGUUUUGGGGUUAUGCAUUAGAGACAGCUGCAUUCACGUUAAAUAGGGUACCAUCUAAAUCCGUUGAGACGACAUCUUAUGAACCGUGGUUUGGCAAGAAACCAAAGUUGUCGUUUCUUAAAGUUUGGGGUUGCGAUGCUUAUGUGAAAAAGUUUCAUCCUGAUAAGAUCAAACCCAAAUCGGAGAAAUGUGUCUUCAUAGGAUACCCAAAGGAGACAGUUGGGUACACCUUCUAUCACAGAUCCGAAGGCAAGACAUUCGUUGCUAAGAAUGGAUCCUUUCUAGAGAAGGAGUUUCUCUCGAAAGAAUUGAGUGGGAGGAAAGUAGAACUUGAUGAGGUAAUUGUACCUGCUCCCUUAUUGGAAAGUAGUUCAUCGCAGAAACCAGUUUCUGUGACGCCUAUACCAAUUAGUGAGGAAGUUAAUGAUGAUGAUCAUGGAACUUCAGAUCAAGUUAUUACUGAACCUCGUAGGUCAACCAGAGUAAGAUCCGCACCAGAGUGGUACGGUAAUCCUGCUCUGGAGGUUAUGUUACUAGACCAUGACGAACCCACGAACUAUGAAGAAGCGAUGGUGAGCCCAGAUUCCGCAAAAUGGCUUGAGGCCAUGAAAUCUGAGAUGGGAUCCAUGUAUGAGAACAAAGUAUGGACUUUGAUUGACUUGCCCAAUGAUCGGCGAGCCAUAAAAAAUAAAUGGAUCUUCAAGAGGAAGACGGACGCUGAUAGUAGUGUUACUAUCUACAAAGCUAGACUUGUCGGAAAAAGGUUUUUGACAAAGUUCAAAGUGUUGAAUACGAUGAGAUUUCCUCACUCGCAGUGAUGCUUAAGUCUGUCCGAAUCAUGUUAGCAAUUGCCGCAUUUUAUGAAAUCUGGCAAAUGGAUAAACAAAACUGCAUUCCUUAAUGGAUUCAUUAAAGAAGAGUUGUAUAUGAUGCAACCAGAAGGUUUUGUCAAUCCUAAAGGUGCUAACAAAAUAUGCAAACUCCAGCGAUCCAUCUAUGGACUGGUGCAAGCAUCUCGGAGUUGGAAUAUACGCUUUGAUAAGUUGAUCAAAGCAUAUAGUUUUAUACAGACUUGCGGUGAAGCCUGUAUUUACAAGAAAGUGAGUGGGAGCACUACAGCAUUUCUAAUAAGUAUAUGUGAAUGACAUAUUGUUGAUCGGAAAUAAUGUAGAAUUAUUCUGCAAAGCAUAAAGGAGUGUUUGAAAGGAGUUUUUCAAAGAAAGACCUCGGUGAAGCUGCUUACAUAUUGAGCAUCAAGAUCUAUAGAGAUAGAUCAAGACGCUUGAUAAGUUUUUUCAAUGAGUACAUACCUUAACAAGAUUUUGAAGUAGUUCAAAAUGGAACAGUCAAAGAAAGAGUUUCUUGCCUGUGUUACAAGGUGUGAAAUUGAGUAAGACUCAAAGCCCGACCACGGCAGAAGAUAGAAAAAGAAUGAAAGUCAUUCCCUAUGCCUCGGCCAUAGGUUCUAUAAAGUAUGCCAUGCUGUGUACCAGAUCUAUUGUAUACCCUACACUGAUUUUGGCAAGGGCCCAAUAAAUAUUGUACUCUCACAUUUUGUUUUGAGGAUACUCCCACAUAGAAAAUAUAAAUAACAAAUGCAUGUUGGGGCAGCCCACGUUUCCGAUAAUUUUAGCCAUGGGCUUGUACAAAAAAUGUAUGAGGCGGUGGUUGUUCAUUUAAUGGAGGGUCUAGUACCAGACUUGAACGAUACAAAGUGCGACCUGGCACACCGUAACACCACUUCGAAUAAGCGGGUAGCUAUCUCAAAAAACAAUCAAUAACUCAAAAAAAGGCGACCUGGCACGUACACAAUUUUAAACGAUUGUUUUGAUGGAGUGAAAAAAGAAAACUACCCUACUAUACGUAUAUAUAUAGGCCGGAGCCUCCGCGCUUGCUUGCUAGGGUUGCUCUAUUCACACACUCUCAUCCUGUCCAGACCUAAACAAGAUAGCUGUGGUAACACUGUCUUUCUAUCCUCACCGUUGGUUACAGAUCCGGACGUAUCCCCCUCCGCCGGUGAAGGGGAGGAGGGGAAGCGUUUAGGCCGUCGUCGGCAGCGAGGGAGGAGACCCACUGCCGGACGCACCGUUAUCUCUGGCCAAGCGCCGGCGCGGGAGGUCCUUCGAUCCUUUCAUCGUUUCGCUAGUGUGGGCGGAUCCGGCCUCCCGCCGCCCACCUAUCCACAUCCCGACGACCUUCAGGUAUAUCUUCCUUCGAAACCGGCCUAGCUCUACUUCCCCAACUCGCUACGUCGCUGCAUGUGCAUCAUUUUCUACCUCUCAGCCCCUCUCGAUCGGAUGGUCCAACGUCACCUAUUUUUUCUAUUGUUAGAGGUAAAGCUACUUCAUGGAGUCGAAUAUUGUACUUGGUUCGAACAAGAAAUAAAUGGGGGGAAAUUUAGUAUGUUCAUCGCACUUGGUACAAACAGGAAGGAAAGGGGGUGAAAGUAGUACAGACUGGUCAUCCAACCGGUCUCUUGGUUGAAAAGGGAAAUAUAGGGGAAACACUGUACACAGUGGUAUGACCAGGACUAGACUUGCUAUCCACACAUAGGACUAGGUGGCUAGAGUGAACAAAAAUGGGACCAACCCAGAUAUGUUUCUUGGAUGUUUGUUUCUCGGGGCAACAAACUCUGAAUCACCACUUUAUGCCCCGGUUUAGGUACAUGGUGCUGGACUGCUGGUGCACUGAUACGUGUCCAACGUAUCUAUAAUUUUUGAUUGUUCCAUGCUAUAUUAUAUUCUGUUUUGGAUGUUUAACGGGCUUUAUUAUACACUUUUAUAUUGUUUUUGGGACUAACCUAUUAACCGGAGGCCCAGCCCGAAUUGCUGUUUUUUUGCCUAUUUCAGUGUUUCGCAGAAAAAGAAUAUCAAACGGAGUCCAAACGGAAUGAAACCUUCGGGAACGUGAUUUUCGGAACAAACGUGAUCCAGAGGACUUGGAGUCUACGCAAAGCAAUCAACGAGGAGAGCACGAGGCAGGGGGGCGCGCCUAGCCCCCCAAGUGCGCCCUCCACCCUCGUGGGGCCCACGUUGCUCCACAGACAUACUUCUUCCUCCUAUAUAUACCUACGUACCCCCAAACUAUCAGAUACGGAGCCAAAAACCUAUUUCCACCACCGCAACCUUCUGUACCCGUGAGAUCCCAUCUUGGGGCCUUUUUCGGCGCUCCGCCGGAGGGGGCAUUGAUCACGAAGGGCUUCUACAUCAACACCAUAGCCUCUCCGAUGAUGUGUGAGUAGUUUACCUUAGACCUUCGGGUUCAUAGUUAUUAGCUAGAUGGCUUCUUCUCUCUCUUUGGAUCUCAAUACAAAGUUCUCCUCGUUCUUCUUGGGGAUCUAUUCGAUGUAAUCUUCUUUUGCGGUGUGUUUGUCGAGAUCCGAUGAAUUGUGGGUUUAUGAUCAAGAUUAUCUAUGAACAAUAUGUGAAUCUCCUCUGAAUUCUUUUAUGUAUGAUUGGUUAUCUUUGCAAGUCUCUUCGAAUUAUCAGUUUGGUUUGGCCUACUAGAUUGAUCUUUCUUGCAAUUGGAGAAGUGCUUAGCUUUGGGUUCAAUCUUGCGGUGUCCUUUCCCAGUGACAGCAGGGGCAGCAAGGCACGUAUUGUAUUGUUGCCAUCGAGGAUAAAAAGAUGGGGUUUAUAUCAUAUUGCAUGAGUUUAUCCCUCUACAUCAUGUCAUCUUACUUAAAGCAUUACUCUAUUCUUAUGAACUUAAUACUCUAGAUGCAUGCUGGAUAGCGGUCGAUGUGUGGAGUAAUAGUAGUAGAUGCAGAAUCGUUUCGGUCUACUUGUCGCGGACGUGAUGCCUAUAUACAUGAUCAUACCUAGAUAUUCUCAUAACUAUGCUCAAUUCUAUCAAUUGCUUGACAGUAAUUUGUUUACCCACCGUAAUACUUAUGCUCUUGAGGGAAGCCACUAGUGAAACCUAUGGCCCCCGGGUCUAUUUUCCAUCAUAUUAAUCUUCCAACACUUAGUUAUUUCUAUUGCCUUUUAUUUUACUUUGCAUCUUUAUUUCUCUUUAUCAUAAAAAUACCAAAAAUAUUAUCUUAUCAUAUCUAUCAUAUCUCACUCUCGUAAGUAACCGUUGAGGGAUUGACAACCCCUUUAUCGCGUUGGUAGCGAGGUUCUUAUUUGUUUGUGUACGUGUGAGGGACUCGUGCGUGAUCUCCUACUGGAUUGAUACCUUGGUUCUCAAAAACUGAGGGAAAUACUUAUGCUACUUUACUACAUCACCCUUUCCUCUUCAAAGGAAAACCAACGUAGUGCUCAAGAGGUAGCAAGAAGGAUUUUUGGCGCCGUUGCCGGGGAGAUUCGUGCCAAGUCAAGUCAAGUCAAGACAUACCAAGUACCCAUCACAAACUCUUAUCCCUCGCAUUACAUUAUUUGCCAUUUGCCUCUUGUUUUCCUCUCCCCCACUUCACCCUUGCCGUUUUAUUCGCCCUCUCUUUUCUAUUCACCUCUUUUUUCGCUUGCUUCUUGUUUGCUCGUGUGUUGGAUUGCUUGCUUGUCACGAUGGCUCAAGACAAUACUGAAUUGGUGACUUUACCAAUACCAACAACAAUGAUUUUCUUAGCACUCCGAUUGCUCCUCUUACCGAUGCUGAAUCUUGCGAAAUUAAUGCUGCUUUGUUGAAUCUUGUCAUGAAAGAUCAAUUCGCCGGCCUUCCUACUGAAGAUGCCGCUACCCAUCUAAAUAGCUUCGUUGAUUUGUGUGAUAUGCAAAAGAAGAAAGAUGUGGACAACGAUAUUGUUAAAUUGAAGCUAUUUCCUUUUUUGCUUAGAGGUCGUGCUAAAGUUUGGUUUUCGUCUUUGCCUAAAAAUAGUAUUGGUUCAUGGAAUAAGUGCAAGGAUGCUUUUAUCUCUAAGUAUUUUCCUCCCGCUAAAAUCAUCUCUCUUAGAAACGAUAUUAUGAAUUUUAAGCAACUUGAUCAUGAACAUGUUGCAUAAGCUUGGGAGAGGAUGAAAUUAAUGAUAUGUAAUUGCCCUACACAUGGUUUGAAUCUUUGGAUGAUUAUACAAAAAAUUUAUGCCGGAUUGAAUUUUGCAUCUAGAAAUCUUCUAGAUUUGGCCGCGGGAGGCACUUUUAUGGAAAUCACUUUAGGAGAAGCUACUAAACUCCUAGAUAAUAUUAUGGUUAAUUAUUCUCAAUGGCACACCGAAAGAUCUACUAAUAAAAAAGUGCAUGCGAUAGAAGAAAUUAAUGUUUUGAGUGGAAAGAUGGAUGAACUUAUGAAAUUAUUUGCUACUAAAAGUGUUUCUUCUGAUCCUAAUGAUAUGCCUUUGUCUACUUUGAUUGAGAAUAAUAACGAAUCUAUGGAUGUGAUUUUUGUUGGUAGGAAUAAUUUUGGUAACAACGCAUAUAGACGAAACUUUAAUCCUAGGCCGUACCCUAGUAAUUCCUCUAAUAAUUAUGGUAAUUCCUACAAAAAUUCUUAUGGAAAUUUUAAUAAGAUGCCCACUGAAUUUGAGACUAGUGUUAAGGAGUUUAUGAAUUCGCAAAAGAAUUUCAAUGCUUUGCUUGAAGAAAAAAUUGCUUAAGGUUGAUGAAUUGGCCAGGAACGUUGAUAGAAUUUCUCUUGAUGUUAAUUCUUUGAAACUUAGAUCUAUUCCACCUAAGCAUGAUAUCAAUGAGUCUCUCAAGGCCAUGAGAAUUUCCAUUGAUGAGUGCAAAGAAAGAACCGCUAGGAUGCGUGCUAAGAAAGAUUGCUUUGUGAAAGCGUGUUCUUCUAAUUUUUAUGAGAAUAAAGAUGAAGAUCUAAAAGUUAUUGAUGUGUCCCCUAUUAAAUCUUUGUUUUGCAAUAUGAAUCUUGAUAAUGAUGGGACUGAAUAUGAGCCACCUUUACCUAGAAGGCGUUCCAAAAAUUCGGAGUCUUUAGAUCUUGAUGCAAAAGUUGGUAAAAGUGGGAUUGAAGAAGUCAAAACCUUAGAUAUUAAUGAACCCACUAUUUUGGAUUUCAAGGAAUUUAAUUAUGAUAAUUGCUCUUUGAUAGAUUGUAUUUCCUUGUUGCAAUCCGUGCUAAAUUCUCCUCAUGCUUAUAGCCAAAAUAAAGCUUUUACCAAACAUAUCGUCGAUGCUUUGAUGCAAUCUUAUGAAGAAAAACUUGAGUUGGAAGUUUCAAUCCCUAGAAAACUUUAUGAUGAGUGGGAACCUACUAUUAAAAUUAAAAUUAAAGAUCAUGAAUGCUAUGCUUUUUGUGAUUUGGGUGCUAGUGUUUCCACGAUUCCAAAAACUUUGUGUGACUUGCUAGGUUUCCGCGAAUUUGAUGAUUGUUCUUUAAACUUACACCUUGCGGAUUCCACUAUUAAGAGACCUAUGGGAAGAAUUAAUGAUGUUCUUAUUGUUGAAAAUAGGAACUAUGUGCCCGUAGAUUUCAUUGUUCUUGAUAUAGAUUGCAAUCCUUCAUGUCCUAUUAUUCUUGGUAGACCUUUCCAUAGAACGAUUGGUGCAAUUAUUGAUCUGAAGGAAGGGAAUAUUAGAUUCCAAUUUCCGUUAAGGAAAGGCAUGGAAUACUUCCCUAGAAAGAAAAUAAAAUUACCUUAUGAAUCUAUUAUGAGAGCUACUUAUGGAUUGCCUACCAAAGAAGGCAAUACCUAGAUCUAUCCUUGGCUUUAUGCCUAGCUAAGGGCGUUAAACGAUAGCGCUUGUUGGGAGGCAACCCAAUUUUAUUUUAGUUUUUUGCUUUUUGCUUCUGUUUAGGAAUAAAUAUUUGAUCUAGCCUCUGGUUAGAUUUGUUUUUAUGUUUUAAUUAGUGUUUGUGCCAAGUUAAACCUAUAGGAUCUUUUUGGAUGAUAGUUAUUUGAUCUUGCUGAAAGUUUCAGAAACUUUCUGUUCACGAAAACAAUUGUUAAAAAUCACCAGAAGGUGAUAAAAUACUGAUUCCAAUUGGAGCAGAUCAAUAAACAAAUUUUCUAGUUCGUCCUAUUUUGGUAGAUUUUUUUGAGUUCCAGAAGUUUGCGUUAGUUACAGAUUACUACAGACUGUUCUGUUUUUGACAGAUUCUGUUUUUCGUGUGUUGUUUGCUUAUUUUGAUGAAUCUAUGGCUAGUAAAAUAGUUUAUAAACCAUAGAGAAGUUGGAAUACAGUAGGUUUAACACCAAUAUAAAUAAAUAAUGAGUUCAUUACAGUACCUUGAAGUGGUGUUUUGUUUUCUUUCGCUAAUGGAGCUCAUGAGGUUUUCUGCUAAGUUUUGUGUUGUGAAGUUUUCAAGUAUUGGGUAAAAGAUUUGAUGGAUUAUGGAACAAGGAGUGGCAAGAUCCUAAGCUUGGGGAUGCCCAUGGCACCCCAAGAUAAUCUAAGGACACCAAAAAGCCAAAGCUUGGGGAUGCCCCAGAAGGCAUCCCCUCUUUCAUCUUCGUCCAUCGGUAACUUUACUUGGAGCUAUAUUUUUAUUCACCACAUGAUAUGUGUUUUGCUUGGAGCGUCUUGUAUGAUUUGAGUCUUUGUUUUUUUAGUUUACCACAAUCAUCCUUGCUGUACACACCUUUUGAGAGAGAUACACAUGAUUCGGAAUUUAUUAGAAUACUCUAUGUGCUUCACUUAUAUCUUUUGAGCUAUAUAGUUUUUGCUCUAGUGCUUCACUCAUAUCUUUUAGAGCAUAGUGGUGGAUUUGUUUUAUAGAAACUAUUGUUCUCUCAUGCUUCACUUAUAUUAUUUUGAGAGUCCUACAAAACAGCAUGGUAAUUUGCUUUAAUUAUGAUAGGCAUCCAAGAUUAGUAAAAAAAUUCUUAUGAGUGUGUUGAAUACUAUGAGAAGUUUGAUGCUUGAUAAUUGUUUUGAGAUAUGAAGAUGGUGAUAUUAGAGUCAUGCUAGUUGAGUAGUUGUGGAUUUGAGGAAUAAUUGUGUUAAAGUUUGUGAUUCCCGUAGCAUGGACGUAUGGUGAACCGUUAUGUGAUGAAGUCGGAGCAUGAUUUAUUUAUUGAUUGUCUUCCUUAUGAGUGGCGGUCGGGGACAAGCGAUGGUGUUUUCCUACCAAUCUAUCCGCCUAGGAGCAUACGCGUAAUACUUUGCUUUGAUAACUUGUAGAUUUUUGCAAUAAGUAUAUGAGUUCUUUAUGACUAAUGAUGAGUCCAUGGAUUAUACGCACUUUUCAUCUUUCCACCAUUGCUAGCCUCUCUAAUACCGUGCACUUUUCGCCGGUAUCAUACACCCACCAUAUACCUUCCUCAAAACAGCCACCAUACCUACCUAUCAUGGAAUUUCCAUAGCCAUUCCGAGAUAUAUUUCCAUGCAACUUACCACCGUUCCAUUUACUAUGACACGCUCCAUCAUUGUCAUAUUGCCUCGCAUGAUCAUGUAGUUGACAUCGUAUUUGUAGCAAAGCCAUCGUUCAUAAUUCUUUCAUACAUGUCACUCUUGAUUCAUUGCAUAUCCCGGUACACCGCCGGAGGCAUUCACAUAGAGUCAUAUUUUGUUCUAAGUAUUGAGUUGUAAUUGUUGAGUUGUAAGUAAAUAAAAGUGUGAUGAUCAUCAUUAUUAGAGCAUUGUCCCAAGUGAGGAAAGGAUGAUGGAGACUAUGAUUCCCCCACAAGUCAGGAUGAGACUCCGGACGAAAAAUAAAAAAAAGGAAAAAAAGAGGCCAUAAAAAAGAGAAAAGGCCCAAAUAAAAAAAUAAAAAAAUGAGAGAAAAAGAGAGAAGGGACAAUGUUACUAUCCUUUUACCACACUUGUGCUUCAAACUAGCACCAUGAUCUUCAUGAUAGAGAGUCUCCUAUGAUAUCACUUUCAUAUACUAGUGGGAAUUUUUCAUUAUAGAACUUGGCUUGUAUAUUCCAAUGAUGGGCUUCCUUAAAAUGCCCUAGGUCUUCGUGAGCAAGCGAGUUGGAUGCACACCCACUUAGUUUCUUUUGGUGAGCUUUCAUAUACUUACAACUCUAGUGCAUCCGUUGCAUGGCAAUCCCUACUCACUCACAUUGAUAUCUAUUGAUGGGCAUCUCCAUAGCCUGUUGAUACGCCUAGUUGAUGUGAGACUAUCUUCUCCUUUUUUGUCUUCUCCACAACCACCAUUCUAUUCCACAUAUAGUGCUAUGUCCAUGGCUCACGCUCAUGUAUUGCGUGAAGAUUGAAAAAGUUUGAGAACACCAAAAGUAUGAAACAAUUGCUUGGCUUGUCAUCGGGGUUGUGCAUGAUUUAAAUACUUUGUGUGGUGAAGAUAGAGCAUAGCCAGACUAUAUGAUUUUGUAGGGAUAACUUGCUUUGGCCAUGUUAUUUUGAGAAGACAUAAUUGCUUAGUCAGUAUGCUUGAAGUAUUAUUAUUUUUAUGUCAAUAUUAAACUUUUAUCUUGAAUCUUUCGGAUCUGAAUAUUCAUACCACAAAUUAAUAGAAUUACAUUGAAAAUUAUGCUAAGUAGCAUUCCACAUCAAAAAAUCUGUUUUUAUCAUUUACCUACUCGAGGACGAGCAUGAAUUAAGCUUGGGGAUGCCUGAUACGUCUCCAAUGUAUCUAUAAUUUUUUAUUGUUCCAUGCUAUAUUAUAUUCUGUUUUGGAUGUUUAACGGGCUUUAUUAUACAAUUUUAUAUUAUUUUUGGGACUAACCUAUUAACCGGAGGCCUAGCCCGAAUUGCUGUUUUUUUGCCUAUUUCAGUGUUUCGCAGAAAAAGAAUAUCAAACGGAGUCCAAACGGAAUGAAACCUUCGGGAACGUGAUUUUCGGAACAAACGUGAUUCAGAGGACUUGGAGUCUACACAAAGCAAUCAACAAGGAGAGCACGAGGCAGGGGGGCACGCCUACCCCCGCAGGCGCGCCCUCCACCCUCGUGGGGCCCACGUUGCUCCACCGACGUACUUCUUCCUCCUAUAUAUACCUACGUAACCCCAAACUAUCAGAUACGGAGCCAAAAACCUAUUUCCACCGCCGCAACCUUCUGUACCUGUGAGAUCCCAUCUUGGGGCCUUUUCCGGCGCUCUGCCGGAGGGGGCAUUGAUCACGGAGGGCUUCUACAUCAACACCGUAGCCUCUCCGAUGAUGUGUGAGUAGUUUACCUCAGACCUUCGGGGUCCAUAGUUAUUAGCUAGAUGGCUUCUUCUCUCUCUUUGGGUCUCAAUACAAGGUUCUCCUCGAUCUUCUUGGAGAUCUAUUCGAUGUAAUCUUCUUUUGCGGUGUGUUUGUCGAGAUCCGAUGAAUUGUGGGUUUAUGAUCAAGAUUAUCUAUGAACAAUAUUUGAAUCACCUUUGAAUUCUUUUAUGUAUGAUUGGUUAUCUUUGCAAGUCUCUUCGAAUUAUCAGUUUGGUUUGGCCUACUAUAUUGAUCUUUCUUGCAAUGGGAGAAGUGCUUAGCUUUGGGUUCAAUCUUGCGAUGUCCUUUCCCAGUGACAGCAGGGGCAGCAAGGCACGUUGUAUUGCUGCCAUCGAGGAUAAAAAUAUGUGGUUUAUACCAUAUUGCAUGAGUUUAUCCCUCUACAUCAUGUCAUCUUACUUAAAGCAUUACUCUGUUCUUAUGAACUUAAUACUCUAGAUGCAUGCUGGAUAGCGGUCGAUGUGUGGAGUAAUAGUAGUAGAUGCAGAAUCAUUUCGGUCUACUUGUCGCGAACGUGAUGCCUAUAUACAUGAUCAUACCUAGAUAUUCUCAUAACUAUGCUCAAUUCUAUCAAUUGCUCGACAAUAAUUUGUUUACCCAUCAUAAUACUUAUGCUCUUGAGAGAAGCCACUAGUGAAACCUAUGGCCCCCGGGUCUAUUUUCCAUCAUAUUAUUCUUCCAACACUUAGUUAUUUCUAUUGCCUUUUAUGUUACUUUGCAUCUUUAUUUCUCUUUAUCAUAGAAAUACCAAAAAUAUUAUCUUAUCAUAUCUAUCAGAUCUCACUCUCGUAAGUAACCGUUGAGGGAUUGACAACCCCUUUAUCCGUUGGUUGCGAGGUUCUUAUUUGUUUGUGUAGGUGUGACGGACUCGUGCGUGAUCUCCUACUGGAUUGAUACCUUGGUUCUCAAAAACUGAGGGAAAUACUUACGCUACUUUACUGCAUCACCCUUUCCUCUUCAAGGAAAAACCAACACAGUGCUCAAGAGGUAGCAUGCACCUGCUGUCCCAUGCCCUUAUACCAAAUAUUUAGCUGUUCUUAAUCUAAUGCCCCUGGUAAAAUGAAGCCAUGCCACUGUUAUAACCCAUGAGAAGUUUAGCCAAAUGUUUUUGCCAGUAGUUGUUUGAGACUCUGACUGUUUCCUCUGUAGCUUUUUGUGCAAACAGGGAUAUCCAUUUCACCUCGCUGCUAUUGUGACCUUUUGGUGCACUGCACAAAACACUUCUUAAAAGAAGUGACUUUUGUGCUGUUUAACUGGAAUGUCAGAAUGGAACCGUUGGUUCAUUUCGGUGGAACUGCACAAAGGGAGAUCUAUGUUCCAAUCCUCAUCAUCCAUAUUGGCACCAUAACCUUCCUUUAGGUAAGGAUGAUAUUUAAUGCAUGUGUUCAUCUCUAUUUUGCAAAUGCCAUGAGAAAAUAAUGCUAUUGUUUACUAGUACACUUGUACUCCCUCACUGACAAAACCAAUUCUGAAAUAGAAGGACAAUCAUGUACUUGGUUUCACCAACUGGUGAGGAGAAAGAGAAAUAGAGCAUGAAGAGGAGGAAGAAGAAGAAGAAUAAAGAGGAAAUGGAGAUAACAUGAUGGUACCGUCCUAUGUUACCCUGACAUCUUGCUAGUGGUAUUGUAUUGCUGUGUUGCUACUAGUCUUAAUUUACUUGGAAGACUAGCAAGAUGCCCGUGCAUUGCACGUAACAUCAAGAUGCAUUUGUAUGAGUAGUUUAUCUUGUGAGAGAAAAGGAUGAACGAGGGAAGGCCUUAUUUGCAAAUGUGGAGAGGGUUGUGGGUACCUUUUUGCAAAAUUGCCAUAGUUUCCUUCCUAUCCGCCAGAUAUAAAUUGGACGGCCUAUAUUGUAGGAUGGCAGGGACACCAUCAUGACCAACUCUGUUUUUUAUUAGAUGAGUAGAGUAGAUAAAAGUAGAGUAGAGAUAGAUAGAGAAAUGCAACAGAGUAGUACUUGGGUUGACGACACAUCAUACUAAUUAACAGGAUUCUGGAUGCAUCUGUGACCCAGCUCUACACGAUCAACAGUGCCAAGGUGAUCUUGCUGAAGCCGAGGCCUCAGUCGAGGCCAUUCAAGGGCUCCGGCAACGUCUACCUUACAUGUGAGACGAUCCUCCAGGGAGCCCUUCCACUUCUGUUGUCUCUCCUGCAAGGUCACUUAAUUAAUUAAGAGUACUUAAGUAGCACUAAUUUAUUGCUGCCUAAUUUUCCUGUCGGAGUUAAACAAAUCUUUUGUAGCACCCUAUGCUAAAUCAUGUACGUGUCUAUGUGUGUCUGUGGAGGGUGAAUCAUGUGGUGGAGCAGGGAGGGAAUCUUGGUAGUGUCAUGACAUAAUAGUGUUAUUGUUUUGCAUGUCAAUUUAUUGCCAUUGGUUCAAUGAGGCAAUGUUUUGCGUAUUGUCCAUCAUGAUUUGAUGCUACUGUUAGAGUAAUAUGCUAUCCUUUCUCACUAAGCUAAUGAAGGUUUCACCUUGUUCCUACUUGUGCAAACAGGGAUCAUGUUGUGCCAAUCAUUCAUUUUAGUGGAACUACACAAGACAAUACAAUGAACUAUAUCCCAGCCAGUGCUUUAACUCUGCUGGAACUUCUUGAUAAUCUUUCGAUAUAAUCUCACCACUGGUAAACAAGAGUGAUUUCAACCAUACAUUUGAAGUGCACAAAAAUAUAUACUAUUGAGUGAUUCCAGUGAGUGCUUUAUUAUCUCUUCUGUGACUACAUGAAUAAGUUUUUUUGCUCAGGUUGGUACUGUCCUAAGGCCUUCAUCCAUAUUAGUUUGCUGUCAUCUCUAUUUGUAUGGUGCUACUGUCAUGAGAAACUCCUUUAUCUUUGCAUGUUAAAGUUUUGCAACCUAUGAUACAUGGAAAUGCUUUGAGUGUUGAGCUAAUUGACACUGAUUAAAUAAACUAGUACCUCUCUUUAAGCAAGACUACUAUGUUGCUAACUUUACCCAUUAAGAUAAUGAGGGUGCUUCUAUUUGUUAGUGUAUGUUUCAUCAACUAGUCCCACUAUUACAGUAAUAUCACUCUCUCAAUAUAUGUGCCAACAGGGAUGCUCGAUUUUGGUGGAACUGCACAAAAACUUUGGGUGCUUCAUUGCCUCGACUGCUUCCUUCCUUUCUUGUCAUUCGCUUAUCUCGGCUUGCUUCCUUCCUUUCCUGUCAGUCGCUUCGCUUAUCUCGGCUUCCAGUCAAAGGAAAUAGUAAUUGAUAUGCUACCUCACACAGGUUGGUACCGGUCUUUAUCCUGAUUAUUGUGCUUGUCAUAUGUAUUGGUAAUUUGGUAUUGUGCUACUGUUUGCCGAUUUCAUAAAGGAGUAACUUGGAGCCUGAACUCGCAGGAAAAUCAUUACAUUGGGCGAUUUCAGUAGAACUGCACAAAAAGAUCAGAUGGACAGAUACUUAUGUGCUGCUAUGUACUCCAAAAUUCACUCAUACAAGCAUCGAUGUGACAAGAAGAAGUGCCUAUAUUCAUUCGAGUAUCAACCAGUUGUCAAACUCCAAGUAUUAGGAGAGUGAACGCCAAAAAUAUUGCUUGGCGCAUAGCCCAGAAAAACGCAGUCCAGUCUUUGGUCCCAACUUGUGCCUUUUGGUUAUCGGCAUAUAUGGUAGCGAACUGUAUGGCAUGGAGUCUAAAGAUUCCAGACAAGUUGGUUGACGCGUAUAUUCAUCAUGCACUUAAUCAGUCUGCACGCCAGGGAUGCUCCAUUUCAGUUGAACUGCACAAAAAAUUUGGGUGGUUCAUUUUCUCAACCGCCUCAUUUAUUGUCUACAAUGUAGAAUUCUGGCGAGCUACAGGACCAAGAUGAGCCAGUAAACUAGUUGGAUGAAAGUAGUGGCCAAGUUGCUCAAACCUCCCUCGGCACGAGGCCACUAUUUUGAGUAUAAACCUACAAGCAAAGUUCAGAUUGUCUGUGCUGCCUCUUAUGUACUCGAAAGUUUACUCGUACAGGCAUUAAUUUUAGCAAGAAGUACCUCCAACUGAACACCAUUUACCAGUUUGUACCCUAGGUAAUUAAAGUUUGACCAUGGAUGAUAUUGGCUGUGAUCUCAAUCAUUGGAUGCAUCAACAUACUGAACAUGUGUAUAUCUGAAUCUUUUUGUGAAUUAUUUAUGAAUAUUGUCUUGUGAUCUAUCAAUCAUUUGGAUGCAUAGACAUGCCGAACUUGUGUAUAUAUGAAUCUUUUGAGUUGUUGAUUGUCAAUGUUGGCUAUGAAUAUGAACGUGUCCUGUGAACCUGAGUUUGAUACAAAUGUUUACCUUUUCUUUUGUACUUGUGUCUGAACUUGUUAGUAUGUCUACUGUGGGAUCUAUGACAUGUGGGUGUCAACGGCACACCUUC
rnacentral:lncRNA from 1 species